GACAAGGACCAUAUAGCAAGGGAAUUGAAAAUUUCACCUAAAGGCAUUGCACUAUAUGUGCCCAUUCAACCCAUCAGACAGUCUCAAUGUCAGCUGGAAUGGUAUAGAGGAUCUCAAAUAUAAACAUAAGAUAGUAACAAUUCAAGUACAUGGACCUAGACAUAUAGAAAUAGAACUUAAUUCUAUGAAGCUGGCACAUUAUGUUUGGCACUAUCUUCAUUCAAAGGUUCUUUUCUACAAGAACCAUGCUGAACAAAUUGCCGGACUACAGAGCUAAGAUUGUGACCAGUUUAGUACAGAACAGUAAUUAUGGAAAUUCAUCUUCAUUAAGAAUUACUGUACACCCUCAGCUAUCCUUCACCAGAACUGAGGAUUCAUUUACUAUAAUCAUGAAAUACACAGUAUUGUAUUAGUCUAAUAAUAUAUAACAAAUCAUUGAGAAAAUUAUGUCUGGUGCCUUUGUUCUGACUAGUACUUUUUCCCAUUGAUAUUAGUUAAGUAUCAUGUGUUAUGGAUUUUAUAUUAAAAUUUUUUGUGCUACCCUUGAAUAUCUUUAUGUUGAUUAUUUUUAAUUAUAUUAUUUAGCUGAUGUGGACAGUUGUUAGAAACGGACAAAGAAGCUGUAAUAAUAAUCUUUGCUUUAUGUGGAGGAAGGAAUUAUGUAGUAAAUUUAUGAGCCAGAAACAGGCAUUUUUCAUAUGUUCUUUAAGGUGAAUCAUUUUCAAAAGUAACAGUUAUUUUAACUCGGGGUUUUAAAGUAAAAAAAAAAAAAAAAUACAGUACAGUACAGUAAGAAAAAAUUACUUCCGUGUAAAAACAAAUAAUGGAAACAAGGUUAAUCUUGGUUUAAUAUAUUGAAAACUGUUCAGCUUAUAUAGCAUCAGAAAAUAUUUCAACAUAGAUGCUGUUAUAAUGGUAAAGAUUUCUGAAGUACCUGGUAAUAUUAAUUUUUAUAGGUUUCUUUAUAACGUUAGUAAUUGAGUUCUUGGUCCAGACCAACUAGUAUUAUGAUUAUUUUUUCUCCUUUUGAGGUCAUCUGAGCAAUUUAUUAUAGUUUUAUGAGAAAGUUAGCCUUUACUUUGCAAGUUCUUCAUUUCAAGACAACUAUUUAUGCAACUUUGGUAUUUUGUUUACACAUAUUACAAAGAGGAAUAUUUUAAAAUGAGAAGCAAGGGUUACUCUUUUAUUAAUCAUUAUUGAAAAAGAAUUUAGUGAUAAGGCUAAACUUU